rnacentral:lncRNA from 1 species
UUUAAAUUUUCGGGUUGCUUUCUUUGAAUCUGUUGACAAAAUUUCCUAGGUCUACAAACACAUGUUGUGCAAUAAUGUUUGCUAACCUCAUUCAUUUUAGCAAACCAAACCCUACGCUCAACACUACUCACCACUCCACCAUAAACCCUACACUACCAGGUCUACUUGUAACACUCCAAAAUUCAGCCCAAAAAUUUUGACCGAUUUUUGAAUAUUACAUUGGUUACCGAAAUGACUCAAAACAAAAAACACUAAUUUAAACACAUAAAAUUUUUUCGAAAAUCUUCUUCUCUUGCAACUCACUGAAACUGUAAAUAAGAUUUAAUUACAUUAAACCAUUUUAUCCCUUCAAACCAGUUCAAAUUUAAGUUACCAAUUUUGAACAAAUUUUGUAAUCAAAAUUGAGAAGUAGUUUUGAGAAAAACUGAAAUUUCAAAACAGAAUUGCAGUGAAAAUUUUGAUGUCUUCUUUUAGUCGAAAAACCCACAAAUUAUUACCUUAAAAAUUGCAUGUUUAUAAAAUGAAUAAUAAAGUGGUGUGAAAUUAAUUUCAUGCGUGGCAUCGAAUAUUUUAAAACCAAAUAUAAUAGCUUUAUAAAUUGAUUAAAAAUUACCAUACUAAACUCAUAGAAAUUUUAUUUAAACCGAGUAACACGAGAAAAAACUCUUUGAGACCUCCGACAUGCUGGACCACAAUCUAACCUCGCAAAUUACCUGAAAGGGAAAAAAACUAAGGGAGUGAGCUGUACAAGCUCAGUGUGAGUCCAAAACAAAAACAAAAGGCAAUUGACAAAGUAUUGAAACAAAUAUUUCUGAUAUGUGCAUGCAAACAAUGUAUGAAUAACUUAUACUAGUAAUCAGUCUUACGAGUAGUUUCCAUUAACAAACAUAACAAAGUGAUAUUAUUUCAAACACACUAGUUACUUAAAACACGUUAGACUAUUUAAAGUAUUUUGCAAUUAACCCAACAAUCAAACAGACAAACUUAUACCCGAAUGUGAAAUGAAUGCAAUAAAUUAAAAAUCCCACCCAACCAACCAAAACACCACUCGGACCACAUUGCACACCACAAUCAGGUUAUAGUAGGCCCGUCCACCCUACACACCACAAUAGUAGAUCUAAGCCACCCAAAUGAAAAUAUGUAGAUGAUGAAAAUAUGUAGAUGAGCUGACAUAUAUAUAUUGUAGAUGUACCGCUAUCAAAUUAUUAUACAUUUUAACUGCUCAGAACAGUCUUCCUUCUCUUCACAACCAAAAUUCCGAAUUUUAAUGCAAAUGCAAAAGAAUGCACAAUCAUCAUGUAUAUGGACAUACUCAUAUUCAGAGCAACAAAACCAGAAUUCAACAUACCUGUAUUCAGUCAAAUGUAACCGUACACGUUUAUCACAAAGUCUUAAAAAUCACACCUAAACUUGUACAAAUAACAGAGCGUAAACCCCAUAAUAGAUACGCACUUACAAUUCAAUAUUACAUCUAAUAAUUGCAUAUAUAUAAUCAGAUUCAAUAGAAUUAAGAUCUCAUAUACUCCUACCAAACUUAAACUAGCACAGAAUCAUUCAAGGUCUAAAACGCACCGAUUUACUAAAAGGGUGCAAAAAUUGAAAAUUAGGGACACACCAAAUCAAGAUGAAAAAUGUGAAACUCACCAUCAAAUUGACCCCCAACUACUUUAAUUCAGAAACACACCUUAAAUCGAGACCCAAGGCACCAAGAACUAAUUGAUUCGCCUCCACAAAACCACUCUGGAAACUCAAUUACAAUUACCCACAAAAUAUUGUAAAACCUCUAUCAACAAUAUUGAGCAGGAAAAUCAAACUAAAAUUCAUAGGGAGUACUUACAUGUUUUAGCACUAAAACUAAUGAACAUGCAAAUCUCCUAACAAUGCAACCGAAACCAAGGCCUCAAGGAACCACCAAAGUUGCGCAAAAUUAGCAAACCUUGAUAAUCUAAUAGUGACAAGAGAAACUAAAGAACUAGAAAAUAAAGGCACCAUAAAAACUCAAUGGCCAAAAAGAACCAAAAAUUGAAACUGGAAAAGAAAGAAAGAAAGACAACAUGCGAGAGAGAAAGAGAAAAAAAUAGGAUAAGGUGAGUAGAAUUUUUGGGGAUUUCUUUCUUCUUAUUUUUUAAUAAAAAAAACUAAAACAAUUUUAAUUAAU